CGGAGGAUCCGAGCGUUAUCCGGGAUUUAUUGGGUUUAAAGGGGUGCGUAGGCGGCCUUUUAAGUCAGCGGUGAAAGUCUGUGGCUCAACCCAUAGAAUUGCCGUUGAAACUGGGGGGCUUGAGUAUGUUUGAGGCAGGCGGAAUGCGUGGUGUAGCGGUGAAAUGCUUAGAUAUCACGCAGAACCCCGAUUGCGAAGGCAGCCUGCCAAGCCAUGACUGACGCUGAUGCACGAAAGCGUGGGGAUCAAACAGGAUUAGAUACCCUGGUAGUCCACGCAGUAAACGAUGAUCACUAGCUGUUUGCGAUACAGUGUAAGCGGCACAGCGAAAGCGUUAAGUGAUCCACCUGGGGAGUACGCCGGCAACGGUGAAACUCAAAGGAAUUGACGGGGGCCCGCACAAGCGGAGGAACAUGUGGUUUAAUUCGAUGAUACGCGAGGAACCUUACCCGGGUUUGAACGCAUUCGGACCGAGGUGGAAACACCUUUUCUAGCAAUAGCCGUUUGCGAGGUGCUGCAUGGUUGUCGUCAGCUCGUGCCGUGAGGUGUCGGCUUAAGUGCCAUAACGAGCGCAACCCUUGCCACUAGUUACUAACAGGUAAAGCUGAGGACUCUGGUGGGACUGCCAGCGUAAGCUGCGAGGAAGGCAGGGAUGACGUCAAAUCAGCACGGCCCUUACAUCCGGGGCGACACACGUGUUACAAUGGCGUGGACAAAGGGAAGCCACCUGGCGACAGGGAGCGAAUCCCCAAACCACGUCUCAGUUCGGAUCGGAGUCUGCAACCCGACUCCGUGAAGCUGGAUUCGCUAGUAAUCGCGCAUCAGCCAUGGCGCGGUGAAUACGUUCCCGGGCCUUGUACACACCGCCCGUCAAGCCAUGGGAGCCGGGGGUACCUGAAGUCCGUAACCGAAAGGAUCGGCCUAGGGUAAAACUGGUGACUGGGGCUAAGUCGUAACAAGGUAGC
rnacentral:rRNA from 1 species